rfam:Mesitornis unicolor contig13565, whole genome shotgun sequence.
UUAUUGGUCCUUAUAGGGACCACCUAAUAUAAAGUGAGAAUGCUUU